rnacentral:rRNA from 1 species
AAACAUCGCCUCUUGAAAACAUAAGAGGUCCAGCCUGCCCAGUGACACCUGUUCAACGGCCGCGGUAUCCUAACCGUGCGAAGGUAGCGUAAUCACUUGUCCUUUAAAUGGGGACUAGUAUGAAUGGCAUCACGAGGGUUAUACUGUCUCCUUUUUCUAAUCAGUUAAACUAAUCUCCCCGUGAAGAAGCGGGGAUACACCUAUAAGACGAGAAGACCCUAUGGAGCUUCAAACAAAACAGCACUCGCUAUUUUAUACGCUAAUCUCAGGAAGCUAACCCUUAUUUUAGCACUCUGUCUGUUAGUUUUAGGUUGGGGUGACCGCGGAGUAAAAAAUAACCUCCACACUGAAAGGGCCUUUCCCUAAGCAAAAAGUCACAACUUUAGGCAUCAAUAAAUUGACAUCAAUUGACCCAAUAUUUUGAUCAACGAAACAAGUUACCCUAGGGAUAACAGCGCAAUCUACUUCGAGAGCCCUUAUCGACAAGUAGGUUUACGACCUCGAUGUUGGAUCAGGGUACCCCAGUGGUGCAGCCGCUACUAAAGGUUCGUUUGUUCAACGAUUAAAACCCUA